GUACGGGAAAAAAAUGAUAAUACCUUACUAUAAGUGUUGUCCAACAUUACUGGUGCCAGAAGACUCGGUAACGCCAGAAACGCAAACGUUAGUCGUCCUAAUCAGGCGUAAAGGGUAAGUAGGCUGCUUUAAAAGUUAUUAUUUAGAAAGCUCUUUCUUGCAGCCCUAUAAAGUUGUAAUUUAAAGUAAAUAAUAAUGAAUUAAAGCUAGAAUCAAAAAGAGGAUAAGCCAAAUAAUGUUUAGAGUAGGGAUGAAAUCCGUAGAUACUAAAUGGAAUACUAAUGGUGAAAACUUUUAUCUAAUAAUGAUUGACGCUGAGGAACGAAGGUGAGAAUAGAAAAUAGGAUUAGAGACCCAGAUAUCUCUCACUGUCAACGAUGAAUGGUGGUUGUUAGUUUUAAAAUAACUAGUACCGAUGUUAACGCGAUAACCAUUCCGCCUUGCGAGUACGGUGCAAACUGGAACCCAAAAAAAUAGUCGGUCUCGGAGCAAACGAAGUGAAGCAUGUAUUAAUUCGAUA
rnacentral:rRNA from 1 species